CUUUACUGUAGCUUGGUAUUGGGUUCGGGCUUUAAUUGCGCAGGAUAGGUGGGAGACUAUGAAGCAGCCCUUGUGGGGGUUGUGGAGUCACUGGUGAGAUGCCACUCUAUUAAGGCUAGAAUUCUAACGUUGACCCGUCAUCCGGGCAGCGGACAGUAUCAGGUGGGCAGUUUGACUGGGGCGGUCGCCUCCUAAAUGGUAACGGAGGCGCGCAAAGGUUCUCUCAGGCCGGUUGGAAAUCAGCCAUUGAGUGUAAAGGCAUAAGAGAGCUUGACUGCGAGACUGACAAGUCGAGCAGGUACGAAAGUAGGCCUUAGUGAUCCGACGGUUCGGCGUGGAAGGGCCGUCGCUCAACGGAUAAAAGUUA
rnacentral:rRNA from 1 species